GUUUCUGGAUUUUAAACAAUUCUUUGGCCAACACAGAGAGGGAGGGUGCAUGGUCAUUUUUGUCGGCUUGAAUUUUGGGUUUGGUGCAAUUUUCAGAAGCUGAGAAGUAAAAAAGAAAGGAAAGAUAAUGGAGGACCUUUGGAUGGUGUUUUGUGGGGAAUCUGGCAAUCUGGAUAUUGGUGGAAAGUUAUCUAGUUCUGGUCUGGUGUUUCAGCCAACUUCAUGUGUCAAUCAUGCGUUGAUUAUUUGUUUCAAUGUUUUGCUUCUAGCCAUGCUCUUGCUCACUUGCAUACAAAAAUCUUCUUCACCAUCCAAAAAAGAUAAUAUCCAACCUCGAUUUCGGGGCUAUUCAAGGCUGCGGAUAGUUUCUGCUAUAUUCAAUGGUUGUAUUGGAUUUGUGUAUUUGUGCUUGGGCACAUGGAUUUUAGAAGAGCAGUUGAGGAAAAACCAGACCGCCUUACCUUUGAAAAGCUGGUUAGUGGUGUUGUUUCAGGGGUUUACAUGGCUUUUAGUGGGUUUAACCAUAAGCCUUCGAGGGAAGCAUCUUCAAAGAACUCCCUUGCGGCUGUUGUCCAUACUUGCUUUCUUGUUUGCUGGACUUGUCUGUGCUUUCUCCAUAUACAGUGUCAUUUUAGGAAAAGCAAUAUUGGUUAAGAUAGCUUUGGAUGUCCUGUCCUUUCCAGGAUCAAUAUUGUUAUUGGUAUGUGUUUACAAGGUAUAUAAACAUGAAGGGAGUUGUGAAAGUGACCUCUACGCACCAAUAAAUGGCGAGGCCAACGGUGCAAGUAGAACAGAUUCUGUUGUCAGAGUUACUCUAUUUGCUGAAGCCGGAUUCUUUAAUAAAAUGUCAUUUUGGUGGUUGAAUCCAAUGAUGAAAAUGGGCAAGGCGAAAACUCUGGAGGAUGAGGAUAUACCAAAGCUGCGAGUGGAAGACCGUGCAGAAAGCUGUUAUUUUGAGUUUCUGGAGCAACUGAACAAGCAUAAACAAGCUGAAUCAUCUCAACCAUCUCUGUUGUGGAUAAUUAUAUUUUGCCACUGGAAAGAAAUUCUAAUUUCCGGACUCUUUGCUUUGCUAAAGAUACUUACUUUGUCAGCUGGGCCUCUACUUCUUAAUGCCUUCAUUUUGGUUGCUGAAGGGAAAGCAGGUUUUAAGUAUGAAGGUUAUUUACUGGCCUUGACGCUCUUCUUUUUAAAGAACUUAGAGUCCUUAGCGCAAAGGCAAUGGUAUUUUAGGAGCAGGCUUAUUGGUUUGAAAGUAAAGUCCUUGCUCACGGCUGCAAUAUAUAAGAAGCAGCUGAGGUUAUCCAAUCUUGGUAGGUUGACGCACUCGAGUGGUGAAGUAAUGAACUAUGUUACUGUAGAUGCCUACAGGAUAGGUGAGUUUCCCUUCUGGUUUCAUCAGACAUGGACAACAAGCUUGCAGCUCUGCAUCUCUCUUGUAAUUCUUUACCGAGCAAUGGGACUCGCAACUUUUGCUGCCUUAGUGGUUAUAAUAAUCACCGUGCUGUGCAACGCUCCACUAGCAAAGUUACAACAUAAAUUUCAGUCUAAGCUUAUGGUGGCGCAAGAUGAGAGAUUGAAAGCUUGCAACGAGGCUCUGGUUAACAUGAAGGUAUUGAAAUUAUAUGCUUGGGAAACCCAUUUUAAGAAUGCCAUAGAAAAUUUGAGAGAGGUGGAGUAUAAAUGGUUGUCAGCAGUGCAGAUGCGCAAAGCCUAUAAUACUUUUCUCUUCUGGUCUUCUCCUGUUUUGGUUUCUGCUGUUACCUUUGGGGCAUGCUAUUUCAUGAAAAUUCCUCUGCAUGCUAAUAAUGUUUUCACCUUUGUGGCAACUUUGCGUCUCGUUCAAGACCCAAUUAGAUCAAUCCCUGAUGUUAUUGGAGUUGUCAUUCAAGCAAAGGUAGCUUUUGCUCGAAUUGUAAAGUUUCUCGAAGCGCCAGAGUUGCAGAGUAGGAAUGUUCUGCAAAGGCGCAAUACGGGAAACCAUUCUGUUUUAAUCAAGUCAGCUGAUUUUUCAUGGGAAGAGAAUUCGUCAAAGCCCACAUUGAGAAAUGUGAGUUUAAAGAUCAUGCCUGGUGAAAAGGUGGCUGUCUGUGGAGAAGUUGGAUCUGGCAAGUCAACCCUUUUAGCAGCAAUCCUCGGAGAAGUUCCUCAUACAAAGGGAACCAUUCAGGUUUAUGGGAGGAUAGCCUAUGUUUCGCAAACAGCUUGGAUCCAGACGGGAACGAUACAAGAGAGCAUUUUAUUCGGGUCUGAAAUGGAUGGACAACGAUACCAAGACACACUUGAGCGAUGCUCACUGGUAAAGGACCUUGAGUUGCUUCCUUAUGGCGAUCUUACUGACAUAGGUGAAAGAGGAGUCAAUUUAAGUGGUGGUCAAAAGCAGCGAAUUCAACUAGCCCGUGCUCUCUAUCAGAACGCAGAUAUAUAUCUGUUGGAUGAUCCAUUCAGCGCUGUGGAUGCAGAGACUGCUACGAGCUUAUUUAAUGAAUAUAUCACGGGAGCACUUUCGGGGAAAACAGUGUUGCUUGUGACACAUCAAGUAGAUUUCUUGCCAGCAUUUGACUCUGUUAUGUUGAUGUCAGAUGGAGAAAUCCUACAAGCAGCUCCUUAUCAUAAGUUGUUGUCCUCAAGCCAAGAAUUUCUGGACCUUGUCAAUGCACACAAAGAAACAGCUGGUUCUGAAAGGCUUCCAGAAGCUAAUGCUCUGCAAAGACAAGGAUCAUCUGCCCGGGAGAUCAAGAAGAGUUAUGAAGAGAAGCAGCUUAAAACAUCUCAAGGAGAUCAACUGAUUAAGCAGGAAGAAAAAGAAAUAGGAGACACCGGGUUUAAGCCUUAUAUUGAGUAUCUGAAUCAAAAUAAAGGAUACUUGUACUUUUCUCUUGCGUCUUUUGGUCACCUGCUAUUUGUGACUGGUCAGAUAUCGCAAAACUCUUGGAUGGCAGCUAAUGUUGACGAUCCUCAUGUUAGCACAUUGCGUUUAAUUGUGAUCUAUCUCAGUAUAGGAGUUAUCUCAAUGCUUUUCUUGCUAUGUAGAUCGAUCUUUACAGUUGUUUUGGGUCUUCAAUCAUCAAAAUCGUUAUUUUCCCAGUUACUACUUUCUCUUUUUCGUGCACCUAUGUCUUUCUACGACUCCACACCUCUUGGAAGAAUACUGAGUCGGGUCGCAUCAGACCUGAGCAUUGUCGAUCUUGAUGUUCCUUUCAGUUUGAUUUUUGCUGUUGGUGCAACAACAAAUGCUUACAGUAAUCUGGGAGUACUAGCUGUUGUUACCUGGCAAGUCUUAUUUGUCUCCAUACCAAUGGUUUAUCUGGCUAUUCGUUUACAGAGAUAUUACUUUGCCUCUGCAAAAGAGUUGAUGCGGAUCAAUGGCACAACCAAGUCUUUAGUGGCAAAUCAUUUAGCUGAAUCUGUAGCUGGAGCCUUGACAAUAAGGGCCUUUGAGGGGGAAGAACGUUUCUUCGCAAAAAACCUUCAACUCAUUGACAUAAAUGCUAGUCCUUUCUUCCACAGUUUUGCUGCAAAUGAGUGGUUGAUUCAACGACUCGAAACAUUCUGUGCAGCUAUUCUUGCCUCUGCAGCACUCUGCGUGGUUUUGCUCCCCCCUGGAACUUUUAGCUCUGGAUUUAUUGGAAUGGCACUUUCGUAUGGACUUUCAUUAAAUAUGUCCUUCGUGAUGUCAAUUCAAAACCAGUGCAUGGUAGCAAAUUACAUCAUUUCUGUUGAAAGGCUGAAUCAAUACAUGCAUAUACCAAGUGAAGCCCCAGAGGUGGUAGAAGAUAACCGUCCUCCAUCUGAUUGGCCAGCAGUGGGUAAAGUGGAUAUUUGUGAUCUGCAGAUUAGAUAUAGGCCUGGCACACCACUAGUUCUUAAAGGAAUCAGUUGCACAUUUGAAGGAGGUCACAAGAUUGGUAUUGUUGGUCGAACCGGCAGUGGGAAGACUACUCUUAUUGGUGCUCUAUUCCGACUGGUGGAACCAACUGGAGGAAAGAUCAUUGUAGAUGGAAUAGACAUCUCUAAGAUUGGACUUCAUGAUCUGAGGUCACGAUUCGGAAUAAUACCUCAAGAUCCUACUCUCUUUAAUGGGACAGUGAGGUACAACUUGGAUCCCUUAUCUAAGCAUACUGACAAGGAGAUAUGGGAGGUUCUUGGAAAGUGUCAGCUUCAAGAGGCUGUGCAGGAGAAACUGCAGGGUCUAGAUUCUCUAGUUGUGGAAGACGGAUCAAAUUGGAGCAUGGGGCAGAGACAAUUAUUUUGCUUGGGCCGUGCCCUUUUAAGGAGAAGCAGGGUAUUGGUGCUUGAUGAAGCAACUGCAUCAAUUGAUAACGCUACUGACUUGAUUUUGCAAAAGACUAUCCGGACUGAAUUUUCAGGUUGCACUGUGAUCACAGUAGCUCACAGGAUACCGACGGUGAUGGAUUGCUCAAUGGUGCUUGCCAUUAGUGAUGGAAAACUAGUCGAGUACGACGAGCCAAGGAACUUAAUGAAGACGGAAGGUUCACUAUUUGGACAGCUUGUGAAGGAGUACUGGUCUCAUUUACACGCAGCAGAAUCACAUUGAAGCUGACGAUCAUUUCUCAUGCAUCCCAUUCCACAAUCCACCCUGGCUUGGCAGCAAAGAUAAAGGGUUCCAGGGCCAGGUAGGAAGAAGGAUGUAUAGUGUUGCAACAAUGAAUACUGUGGGGACGAGGAGGAAGAUUGGAAAAGGGAACAGAAUUUCCUAUCCUUGGUUUUGUAACUGUAUUCAGACAUCAAGCUCGUUAGUUUCUGCAGGGAAAUUGAAUGUCUGGUGUCAAGAGCUUGGCUAUUCUGAUUUACAGGGUGCAGACUUGCCCGUUUUAUGAGUUGUUUCCUCUGCAGUCAUCUUAUUUAUACUUACUCUUAA